rnacentral:rRNA from 1 species
AAACGAGAGACUAACAGGAUUCCCCUAGUAACUGCGAGUGAAGCGGGAAAAGCUCAAAUUUAAAAUCUGGCAGUCUCUGGCUGUCCGAGUUGUAAUCUAGAGAAGUAAUGCCCGUGCUGGACCGUGUAUAAGUCUCCUGGGAUGGGGCGUCAUAGAGGGUGAGAAUCCCGUCUUUGACACGGACUACCAGUGCAUUGUGGUAUGCUCUCAAAGAGUCGAGUUGUUUGGGAAUGCAGCUCAAAAUGGGUGGUAAAUUCCAUCUAAAGCUAAAUAUUGGCGAGAGACCGAUAGYGAACAAGUACCGUGAGGGAAAGAUGAAAAGAACUUUGGAAAGAGAGUUAAACAGUACGUGAAAUUGCUGAAAGGGAAACGCUUGAAGUCAGUCAYGUUGGCCGGGAAUCAGCCUUGCUUUUGCAUGGUGUACUUUCUGGUUGAUGGGUCAGCAUCAAUUUUGACCGCUGGAAAAAGGCCUGGGGAAUGUGGCAGCUUCGGCUGUGUUAUAGCCCCUAGUCACAUACAGUGGUUGGGAUUGAGGAACUCAGCACGCCGCAAGGCCGGGUUUCGACCACGUUCGUGCUUAGGAUGCUGGCAUAAUGGCUUUAAGCGACCCGUCUUGAAACACGGACCAAGGAGUCUAACAUGCCUGCGAGUAUUUGGGUGGAAAACCMAAGUGCGUAAUGAAAGUGAAAGUUGAGAUCCCUGUCGUGGGGAGCAUCGAUGCCCGGACCAGAACUUUUGGGACGGAUCCGCGGUGGAGCAUGUAUGUUGGGACCCGAAAGAUGGUGAACUAUGCCUGAAUAGGGUGAAGCCAGAGGAAACUCUGGUGGAGGCUCGUAGCGAUUCUGACGUGCAAAUCGAUCGUCAAAUUUGGGUAUAGGGGCGAAAGACUAAUCGACCAUCUGGGUCCAU